AGGAUUGCGUUGGCCAAUUUUCGGUGUGCUCUGUCUGUCGUUAUAUCUAGGAAUCCGAUCCGGCCAGCUAUCCAUUAUGGACUGGUCAUUCCAGAUACGAGGGUUGUUUGUCCUCUUCCACUAUAAAAAUCAAAAGUAGACUGAAAGGAAAGACCAUGAUAUUGCAAAGGAAUGCCAGCACCACUUCCUCCCAGCCAAACGAGGAAAUCCCCUCACUGGGGUCAUCAGUGUUUGUCGUCUUCAGUAUGCCAUACCACAUGGCAUUCACACACAUGAACACAUACAGGAGCGAAACACACACUGUAGCUCUCUGAACUCGGGUAAAUCGACUGUUUGCUGGACGAUCCACAAUAGACACCCAUAAAUGACGGUCUGCCAUGCUGUUAGAAACUGCGUGCCCAAACAUUCGGGAGAACCUCUUGAUUUCUGAUGAUCCUAAAUAAUGAAAUUUGAAGUCGUGACCUCUCAUUUUAGCCAUUUUCACUAGUGUGUGUACUUUUGAAAAAAAAUCAUUUAAAUAGUACUACAGUGUGAUGCAAAGUUUGUGUAAUAUGUCAAAAUAUGUUUGUACUAGAUCUAAUCAAAUUUUAUGUAAUAUGUCAAUAUAUGUUUGUACUAGAUCUAAUCAAAGUUUAUGUGAUAUGUCAAUAUAUAUUUCUACUAUUCAAA